AUACUAGUUUUGUGGGGCCUGAGGCUUUAAACUUUACCAAUUGCAAUUGCAAGCAUAAGUGGAUUUUAUGCAGGGUGAUAUUAUUGUUGUAGACCUUAGACCGGGCAUUUGUUGUCCUGUUUUUGUGGCUGACAGACGUUGUGCUGUCUGUAAUCUGUAUUAUAUGCUUUAUAUUUAACUGUACAUUUAUGUUACAUAGGAGAUGGAGGUCAGUAUCCCAG
rnacentral:misc_RNA from 1 species